rnacentral:rRNA from 1 species
CCUACGGGCGGCAGCAGUAGGGAAUCUUCCACAAUGGGCGAAAGCCUGAUGGAGCAACGCCGCGUGGGUGAAGAAGGUCUUCGGAUCGUAAAACCCUGUUGUUAGAGAAGAAAGUGCGUGAGAGUAACUGUUCACGUUUCGACGGUAUCUAACCAGAAAGCAACGGCUAACUACGUGCCAGCAGCCGCGGUAAUACGUAGGUGGCAAGCGUUAUCCGGAUUUAUUGGGCGUAAAGGGAACGCAGGCGGUCUGUUAAGUCUGAUGUGAAAGCCGUCGGCUUAACCGGAGUAGUGCAUUGGAGACUGGGAGACGUGAGUGCAGAAGAGGAGAGUAGAACUCCAUGUGGAGCGGUGAAAUGCGUAGAUAUAUGGAAGAACACCAGUGGCGAAAGCGGCUCUCUGGUCUGUAACUGACGCUGAGGUUCGAAAGCGUGGGUAGCAAACAGGAUUAGAGACCCCAGUAGUC